AGUGAACGCUGGCGGUAGGCCUAACACAUGCAAGUCGAACGGUAGCACAGGAGAGCUUGCUCUCUGGGUGGCGAGUGGCGGACGGGUGAGGAAUACAUCGGAAUCUACUUUUUCGUGGGGGAUAACGUAGGGAAACUUACGCUAAUACCGCAUACGACCUACGGGUGAAAGCAGGGGACCUUCGGGCCUUGCGCGAUUGAAUGGGCCGAUGUCGGAUUAGCUAGUUGGCGGGGUAAAGGCCCACCAAGGCGACGAUCCGUAGCUGGUCUGAGAGGAUGAUCAGCCACACUGGAACUGAGACACGGUCCAGACUCCUACGGGAGGCAGCAGUGGGGAAUAUUGGACAAUGGGCGCAAGCCUGAUCCAGCCAUACCGCGUGGGUGAAGAAGGCCUUCGGGUUGUAAAGCCCUUUUGUUGGGAAAGAAAUCCAGCUGGCUAGUACCCGGUUGGGAUGACGGUACCCAAAGAAUAAGCACCGGCUAACUUCGUGCCAGCCGCCGCCGUAA
rnacentral:rRNA from 1 species